rnacentral:rRNA from 1 species
UGAGGGAAUAUUGGGUCAAUGGGCGGAAGCCUGAACCAGCCAUGCCGCGUGAAGGAAUAAGGCCCUAUGGGUCGUAAACUUCUUUUGGCGGGGAGCAAUAAGGUCUACGUGUAGACCGAUGAGAGUACUCGUUGAAUAAGCAUCGGCUAACUCCGUGCCAGCAGCCGCGGUAAUACGGAGGAUGCGAGCGUUAUCCGGAUUUAUUGGGUUUAAAGGGUGCGUAGGCUGUUUGUCAAGUCAGAGGUGAAAGGCCGCAGCUCAACUGUGGAAUUUGCCUUUGAUACUGGUGUGCUUGAGUGCGUGCGAGGGAGGCGGAAUGCGUUGUGUAGCGGUGAAAUGCAUAGAUAUGACGCAGAACUCCGAUUGCGAAGGCAGCUUUCCAGCACGCCACUGACGC